CUUUUGCUUAUCAGCUUUUGUAUCUAAUAGAUGCUACUGGGUUCUACUCUUUAGGAUUACACGUUCUUGGGAUUCAAGUUUGUCGAGCUACAGGGCAGGAGCUGAUGGAUACAUCUUCAAGAAUUUCUAAAAUCAGGAGCCACAAACGUGAGAGACUCCGUGGCCCCCCUUGGCUGAAGGCACUUCAAGGUGCACUUCUAAGCAGUAUGUAUGCAGUUCUUGACUAUGCACAAAUUUGUUUAGUUGAUGCAGUAUGUUUCUUUAAAGUAAGUGCACUUUACCGAGAUUAUGUCAAAUCCUGCAUUAGCAAAUUUUUUUGAUUCUUUCUUUAUCUUCAUGUCAUU